rnacentral:rRNA from 1 species
UACGGGGGGGUGCAAGCGUUAUUCGGAAUUAUUGGGCGUAAAGGGCGCGUAGGCGGUCUUUUAAGUCAGAUGUGAAAGCCCGGGGCUUAACCCCGGAAGUGCAUUUGAAACUGAAGGACUUGAGUAUGGGAGAGGGAAGUGGAAUUCCUGGUGUAGAGGUGAAAUUCGUAGAUAUCAGGAGGAACACCGGUGGCGAAGGCGACUUCCUGGACCAAUACUGACGCUGAGGCGCGAAGGCGUGGGGAGCAAACAGG